AUGCGAUAAGUAAUGUGAAUUGCAGAAUUCAGUGAAUCAUCGAAUCUUUGAACGCACAUUGCGCCCCCCGGUAUUCCGGGGGGCAUGCCUGUCCGAGCGUCAUUACUGCCCUCAAGCGCGGCUUGUGUGUUGGGCCUUCGUCCCCCCUCUCCGGGGGGGGGCGUGCCCGAAAGGCAGUGGCGGCGUCGUGCCCGGACCACGAGCGUAUGGGGCUUUGUCACCCGCUCUGGAGGCCCGGCCGGCGACCGCCGACCAAACCCAACCUUUUCACCGGUUGACCUCGGAUCAGGCAGGGAUACCCGCUGAACUUAA
rnacentral:misc_RNA from 1 species